UACGUAGGGGGCAAGCGUUGUCCGGAAUCAUUGGGCGUAAAGAGCUCGUAGGCGGUCUGUUGCGUCCGCUGUGAAAACUCGGGGCUUAACCCCGAGCCUGCAGUGGAUACGGGCAGACUAGAGGUAGGUAGGGGACCACGGAAUUCCUGGUGUAGCGGUGAAAUGCGCAGAUAUCAGGAGGAACACCGGUGGCGAAGGCGGGUCUCUGGGCCGAUACUGACGUGAGGAGCGAAAGCAUGGGGAGCGAACAGG
rnacentral:rRNA from 1 species